ACAUUUUUCAUCUCUUUCCCUCUCCCUCUCUCUCUCUCUCAGACAAAACUUAACCCUUCUUUCUUUCUUUCUUUCUUUCUUCCAUUUUCACUCCUCUCUCUUUUUCCUUCAAACCCUUGAACCACCGCCUGUUUACGGCCACCACACAUCCGCCAACACUGUCACUCCGCUGCGCGGGACCAAACAACAACCACCACUUUCAGAUUAUACGCGAUUAUUUCUCUUUUCCUUUCACUCUAUUGAUUUCAGGGUUUGUGCUUCUAAUCCUCAUUGUUUUGAUUUUCGAUUUUAGGUUUUGCCAUCAAAAAACAUGUCUUAUUGCUUAUUUCUGACCACUGUGAAUCGUAUCCCUUGCAAGCUUAUUAUAAGAGUAUUUGAAAGAAGAAAACACUCAGAUCCUGCAACAACAAACAAAUUACAUGAGUUUCAAUUUUUCAAUCUCUUCUUAUUGUUGAUUUAAGGAUUGCAAUCAUGGUGUUUGGAACAAACUUCAUAGGUAAAGCAAACUGGAAGCCCUUACUUUCGGUCAACAAAAUGAUGCAAACACUCUAACAUUUUCUCAAUAUGAUGCAAUUGUUGCUGAACCUGAACAAGAACCAAAAUCAUAUGGAAACUCACCACUUCCCUUAGCUGUAGAUAGAACAAGAAGAAAAGAUCCUUUAGAUGGCUUCAUUGUAUACACUAAUGAAUGGAAUAUAAGUGACCACCAUUAUUGUGUUGGGAUUUGAAGAAAAUGUUGUCAGGACCAAUUGGAUUACAUAAUCAAGAUCAAAAGUUGUUUUACAAAGACAAAUAAAGAGAUUCAAAGGCUUUUUUUGACAUAGUUGGUGUAAAGAGAUUCCAAUUAAAUUAAGCUUGAUGCGACUAUUGACAAUAUAUUUACCACUUGAAGGACAUCUUGCAGAAUGUAGUUUGUUGCUGUUAGACAUCUUCACAUUUGAAUUGGUCCCUUAAACUGAC